UACGUAGGGUGCGAGCGUUUGUCCGGAAUUAUUGGGCGUAAAGAGCUUGUAGGCGGUUUGUCGCGUCUGCCGUGAAAAUUCGAGGCUCAACCUCGAACUUGCGGUGGGUACGGGCAGACUAGAGUGUGGUAGGGGAGACUGGAAUUCCUGGUGUAGCGGUGAAAUGCGCAGAUAUCAGGAGGAACACCGAUGGCGAAGGCAGGUCUCUGGGCCACUACUGACGCUGAGAAGCGAAAGCAUGGGGAGCGAACAGGG
rnacentral:rRNA from 1 species